rnacentral:lncRNA from 1 species
UAUUAGAGAUACUGUUAGCGAACAGCAUGGAUCCUGACCAGACUGCGCGGAUGCGCAGGCUGGUCUGGAUCCAUGCUGGUCACAAAGCCACUAUGUUGGUUUUCCCAUGGCACGGCUCAUAUUAAUUAAAAUUAUGUUGUGGUGACUCCAAACAAACAAAACAAAUAAUUAGUAUUUCUGUAUUCCAAAGCAGUCUUUCAGUCAGUGACAUCCUUGGGCAGUUUAUGAAAACUGUUGAAAUGAUGACAGAUUUCUUAUAAAUCUCCUUAUCAUCACACUAGAUUUACCGGUAUAGUGUUAAUCAAUUUCUGUGUAUUUGUUAUUUAACUUACUAACUUAGGUGAGCGACAUUUUGCUAGAUUGACCCUUUUGUCUGUCAACAGUUUUAUGUAUAUUUGAAAUUUAUGAUUUGUAUAGAUAACAUACAUAUAUAACAGAUGCACUAUUAUUUUUUAAACUGUAUUUCACCAAACAUACAUUAAAUUUUACUCCUGAAGUUGAACAUCUCUAUAUACUGAAUAUUUUGAACAAGCAUAAUUUUGUAAAAUCUUAGUUGGAAAGACUAGACAUUGAUUGAAUGAUUGUCAAAAGCUUUAAGAAAACUUUCGUGUUGAUACCCACCAGGAAAACUUAUAAUUUGCAUUUAGGUUAGCAACUUUUCAUUUUAGUGUAAUGAAUUCAUUAAAUAGGAAUUAAAAUGAAGUGCCUCAAUUUAUGCUUGAAAUGACAUAUUGAUGCAUUUCAUACAAAAAAAAAUGUAGCAAAAAUUAAAAUAAGUAUAAACCAGAAAGACUUGCUUAUAUUCGUGUUUGGUUGAACAGACCAGUUGUUUUCCUGUUAGUGUAAAUUUGAGUGUUGAUCAUCUUAGGGUCGCAUAUUAAUGACAAAUAUUGACCAAUUUGAGGUUGUGUUCAAGGGCAUUGGUUGAAAAUAAUACAAAUAUUAACAAAGAUCUUUUAUAAACUUAGAGAGAAUAGAACUGUCUUAGUUUUGGGUUAUAGCCCUUUAUACAGGCAUCGGUAAUUAUUGUAUAUUGUCGCCAAAUUUUAGUAUCAUCGACCAAACAUUUACAUGCAUGACCAGCCUCAGUAUUUACCAAUGUGUGCGACUGGGUUUAAUACGUGUAUGCAAGUCAGAUGCUGAGUGGCACUGCCUUACUGAAGAUGUUAUACGACAGCUAGUUUGGUUAUAAUGUCGUAUACUAGUUGAGAUGUUAAGUGUUGUGGACAGUUAUUUCAGAGUUGUUGUUUAUAUACAGGUAGCGAGUUUUCAUUAGCAGCAUGUAUUUCAUUAAGGCGCUGUAGAGAUGCUUAGUGCAUUCUCAUGUACUUUGUAUAUUUUUCAGAUUUGUUAACUGUAUUCUUUUUUUAAUGCUAUAUCUUUAUAUAUAAUUAAAAUCAUACUUAAUAAAGACAUCACAAUAAA